UACCAGCACCCCGAGUGUUCGGGACGAUUAUUGGGCCUAAAGCAUCCGUAGCCGGUCCUACAAGUCUUCCGUUAAAUCCACCUGCUUAACAGAUGGGCUGCGGAAGAUACUAUAGGGCUAGGAGGCGGGAGAGGCAAGCGGUACUCAGUGGGUAGGGGUAAAAUCCUCUGAUCCAUUGAAGACCACCAGUGGCGAAGGCGGCUUGCCAGAACGCGCUCGACGGUGAGGGAUGAAAGCUGGGGGAGCAAACCGG
rnacentral:rRNA from 1 species